UACAGAGGGUGCAAGCGUUAAUCGGAGUUACUGGGCGUAAAGGGCGCGUAGGCGGUUAUUUAAGUUUGAUGUGAAAUCCCUGGGCUUAACCUAGGAACUGCAUUGAAAACUGGAUAACUGGAGUACUGUAGAGGGUAGUGGAAUUUCCGGUGUAGCGGUGAAAUGCGUAGAGAUCGGAAGGAAGACCAGUGGCGAAGGCGGGUCUCUGGACAGUUCCUGACGCUGAGGCACGAAGGCCAGGGGAGCAAACGGG
rnacentral:rRNA from 1 species